GAGUGUUGUCCCCCUUCUAACAACAGUGUACUUUGAAAUGUGGCAAGAAGCAUUUGGCUGAAACAUUUGAGGUCCACAUCUGCUUGCGAAAUUCUCAAUAGGGGCUGGUGUCUGUGAAGUACCCGCUAUGCUCCUGCAGAUUAGUCACCAUCAACAACCUAAUUUUGCGUCAGGAAAAUGAGGCGUUCUGUCUUUCCGAAGACGCUUCCUUGUGGCUUUCUGCGAUUGUCAGUGUGAAGUUCUCCACUCCAAUCUUAUUAUCAGUCUCGGAGGCUCUCAUCCUUGUUUGCUUUAGUCUACCAAGCUGUGGCCUACAGGUGCCAGCUGUGGAAUGCCCUGGCUUGCACUUCCUCUUUCUAGAAGCUUAAAAGGCACAAUCCUCUGUGAGAGCCCAGCACCUUGAGGGUCUCCUGUCACGAAACCUUGACAACAUGACAGUGAAUGAUGGUGGGGGAAUUCUUAGAGUUAUUUCAGCUGGCAAGUCUACAGUACUUCAUGAAUUCAUGGAUGCUCCUGCAAAAUUACUGAGCCUCUGUAGAGGGACUGUGGAAACCACCAGCUUUGGUUUGUUGCUGGAAACAGAUGAGGUCUGUCACAUACACUUAGAAGUUGUAAUCAAUAGAAUUCCUCAAAGAGUGGGCUCUAUUUGUGGUGGGAAAAUUGCAUGUUGAAUUGGGCAGUGAACUGAACUGGAAGGUGACAGGAACUGGAGUAUUCCAGACUGGUUUACUUUGUCUUUGUAGGAGGGCCAGAGCAGAUUUCCAGGGUCUUUGUUUGCUGGCGGGCAGACAACUCGGAGAGAUUAAAGGGCAAUCAAGAUGAAGUCUGUAAGCACAGGCAUUUGGAUGGGAGUCUUUUGGUCCUAAAAGACACCAGGAUAGUCCCAUGGCUAUGUGAAAAGACUCCAGGAGGCUUUGAGACCGUAUCAUUCCCUCAGUACUUGCCAGAGACCCUGAGCAAUCGCUGAACUGAAAGAACUGUGUGGCAAUUCUUAUCAGUGU
rnacentral:lncRNA from 1 species